UACGGAGGGAGCUAGCGUUAUUCGGAAUUACUGGGCGUAAAGCGCACGUAGGCGGCUUUGUAAGUAAGAGGUGAAAGCCUGGAGCUCAACUCCAGAACUGCCUUUUAGACUGCAUCGCUUGAAUCCAGGAGAGGUGAGUGGAAUUCCGAGUGUAGAGGUGAAAUUCGUAGAUAUCGGGAGGAACACCAGUGGCGAAGGCGGCGACCUGGACGGACAUUGACGCUGAGACGCGAAAGCGUGGGGAGCGAACAGG
rnacentral:rRNA from 1 species